rnacentral:rRNA from 1 species
UACGUAGGCAGCGAGCGUUGUUCGGAGUUACUGGGCGUAAAGGGUGUGUAGGCGGUUCGGUAAGUCUGGUGUGAAAUCUCCCGGCUCAACUGGGAGGGUGCGCCGGAAACUGCCAAACUAGAGUGCGGGAGAGGAAAGUGGAAUUCCUGGUGUAGCGGUGAAAUGCGUAGAUAUCUGGAGGAAUACCGGUGGCGAAGGCGGCAUCCUGGACCGGCAUUGACGCUGAGGAGCGAAAGCCAGGGGAGCAAACGGGG